AGAGUUUGAUCCUGGCUCAGAGUGAACGCUGGCGGCAGGCCUAACACAUGCAAGUCGAACGGCAGCACAGCAGUAGCAAUACUGUGGGUGGCGAGUGGCGGACGGGUGAGGAAUACAUGGGAAUCUGCCCUGUCGUGGGGGAUAACGUAGGGAAACUUACGCUAAUACCGCAUACGACCGAGAGGUGAAAGCGGCGGACCGCAAGGCGUCGCGCGAUUGGAUGAGCCCAUGUCGGAUUAGCUAGUUGGCGGGGUAAAGGCCCACCAAGGCGACGAUCCGUAGCUGGUCUGAGAGGAUGAUCAGCCACACUGGAACUGAGACACGGUCCAGACUCCUACGGGAGGCAGCAGUGGGGAAUAUUGGACAAUGGGCGCAAGCCUGAUCCAGCCAUGCCGCGUGAGUGAAGAAGGCCUUCGGGUUGUAAAGCUCUUUUGUCCGGAAAGAAAAGCCUUCGGUUAAUACCCGGGGGUGAUGACGGUACCGGAAGAAUAAGCACCGGCUAACUUCGUGCCAGCAGCCGCGGUAAUACGAAGGGUGCAAGCGUUACUCGGAAUUACUGGGCGUAAAGCGUGCGUAGGUGGUUCGUUAAGUCUGAUGUGAAAGCCCUGGGCUCAACCUGGGAAUGGCAUUGGAAACUGGCGACCUAGAGUGCGGUAGAGGGUAGUGGAAUUCCCGGUGUAGCAGUGAAAUGCGUAGAGAUCGGGAGGAACAUCCGUGGCGAAGGCGACUACCUGGACCAGCACUGACACUGAGGCAGGAAAAGCGUGGAGAGCAAACAGGAUUAGAUACCCUGGUAGUCCCACGCCCCUAAACGAUGCGAACUGGAUGUUGUGUGCACUUAGGCACUCAGUUUCGAACCUAACGCA
rnacentral:rRNA from 1 species